UAGGGAAUCUUCGGUAAUGGACGAAAGUCUGACCGAGCAACGCCGCGUGAGUGAAGAAGGUUUUCGGAUCGUAAAACUCUGUUGGUAGAGAAGAACGUUGGUGAGAGUGGAAAGCUCAUCAAGUGACGGUAACUACCCAGAAAGGGACGGCUAACUACGUGCCAG
rnacentral:rRNA from 1 species